rnacentral:rRNA from 1 species
AGUCUAGCAUGUGCGCGAGUCAUUGGGACUCAAUAAACCUAAAGGCGCAAUGAAAGUGAAAGUCUGUUUACGCGGACUUAGGGAGGAUAGGUGCGUACACAUCUGUGUACAACCUCGCACUCCCGGGGCGUCUCGCACUCAUUGCGAGGUGGGGCGCACCAAGAGCGUACACGCUGGGACCCGAAAGAUGGUGAACUAUGCCUGGUCAGGACGAAGUCAGGGGAAACCCUGAUGGAGGUCCGUAGCGAUUCUGACGUGCAAAUCGAUCGUCGGAACUGGGCUUAGGGGCGAAAGACUAAUCGAACCAUCUAGUAGCUGGUUCCCACCGAAGUUUCCCUCAGGAUAGCUGGCACUAGAUUAUGGAUGAGUCUCAUCCGGUAAAGCGAAUGAUUAGAGGCAUUGGGGUCGAAACGGCCUCAACCUAUUCUCAAACUUUAAAUGGGUGAGAUCUCCGGCUUGCUCGAUUUGUGAAGCCGGAGAUCGGAUCAAUUAGUGCCAAGUGGGCCACUUUUGGUAAGCAGAACUGGCGCUGUGGGAUGAACCAAACGCAGAGUUAAAGCGCCAAAAUCGACGCUUAUGGGAUACCAUGAAAGGCGUUGGUAACUUAAGACAGCAGGACGGUGGCCAUGGAAGUC